rnacentral:rRNA from 1 species
AACGUAGGUGGCAAGCGUUGUCCGGAAUUACUGGGCGUAAAGGGAGCGCAGGCGGAAUGGCAAGUUGGAUGUGAAAUCUAUGGGCUCAACCCAUAGCGUGCAUUCAAAACUGCUGUUCUUGAGUGAUGUAGAGGUAGGCGGAAUUCCCGGUGUAGCGGUGGAAUGCGUAGAUAUCGGGAGGAACACCAGUGGCGAAGGCGGCCUACUGGGCAUUAACUGACGCUGAGGCUCGAAAGUAUGGGGAGCAAACAGG